GUAGGAUUGAGCAGAACUCAUUCCAAUCUUGAUGAAAUUACUUUGUAUAACUGUAACUCCAUAGGCCUCAUGUAAGAAAGAUUACGAACCUAUAGUAUAAAGAUGAAUCUAGGUAAAAGAAAGAUCGGAUUAUUAACUAUGAGUUAUCUAUAAUUUUAUUGGAAAUCAUAGUUGACAUCAGAGAAUGAAGGCUGUUCCAGUUCAUCUCCCUGUCCUCGUUCACAAGAAAGUCUGUGAAGCUGGAAAUCCUGAGGACUUCAUCAUUCCAUGAUCUCCUACGCACACUGCAUUGCUCUUGCUUCCUGACACUGGUUCAAAUGGGACUUGAAAAUCAUCCAUGAAGAACUAACAAUGGACUGACCAAAGGGAUACGGAAUAUUUGUGCAUCAGUACAUGAGGAUACCUCUCUGCAGUGCUCACAAGACUCAAUAAGAAUGGCGGUCAUCACAUUGGUCCCAGCACAUCACUGAUACAGCAGAUCCAGCUGUGCUGCUGGUACAGCCACACCAUGCCCAGAUGGUGCUGCCUAAAGCAUCAGCCCUCCAUGAUGCUGUACCCCAGUGCCAGGUAGGAAGCUUUGAAUUGCUCAUCUAUCUGUGACUACUGCAGUUAGUAGCACCCAAGAAUAGCUCAUAAACUUUGCACUAAGAUUUCUGCAGCCAACACAAACUGAUA
rnacentral:lncRNA from 1 species